rnacentral:rRNA from 1 species
GGUUAAGUGACUAAGCGUACAUGGUGGAUGCCUUGGCAGUCAGAGGCGAUGAAGGACGUACUAACCUGCGAUAAGCCGUGAGCAGUCGGUAAGAGACAUUACGACUCACGGAUUUCCGAAUGGGGAAACCCACUCAGCAUAAGCUGGGUAUCGCUACGUGAAUACAUAGCGUAGCGAGGCGAACCGGGAGAACUGAAACAUCUAAGUACCCCGAGGAAAAGAAAUCAACCGAGAUUCCCUCAGUAGCGGCGAGCGAACGGGGAUUAGCCCUUAAGCAUCUUGGAAGUUAGUGGAACGGUCC